GUUUUUAUUUAGGAGAGGAAAUUACUAAAAUUAAUUAGAAACUAUUAGUUUCUUAUCCAUAUGCUUUGAAACAUAACUGUCUUUUCCAGGUAACUUAAGAUAACCAACCCCUAGGUGUUAGAAUUGCUUUUAUUUUAUCUAACCAUUUCAACCGGAAAUCUUUCCUAAGUAUAUGUACACAUUCAUACCUUUUAAGAUCAUGUAAAUAUAUUGUCCUUUUCUUGAGACUGCACAUGAGUUCUGUUGUGUUCAGCUCUUUGCUUUUAUACCAUAUGGGACCAGACUUAUCAAAUUUUAAAAACUUGAGUGUCUUUUCCCCAUGUCUGUAGGUUAUUUCUUUUUACUAUUGGCAUUUGUAAGUCCUUUGAGGAGUUCCUGUUGUGAUGCAGGAUUGAACCCUCAACCUCAUGGUUCCUGGUUGAAUUUGUUUCCGCUGUGCCAUGAUGGGAAGUCCUGAAGAAAAGUUUAUAGUCUUAAAAAAUACAAGUAAAACCUGCAACAAGAUACUAUUUUCUCAAUAAUCAAAUUAGUAGGAUGAAUGAAUGAGAUCCUGCCCUUUGUUAAUUAGAUUGUGUUUAAAGAGCAUUUUCAUGAACUAGUGGUUUGUGGUAUAAAUUAGUAUUUUCUAAAAAUCACUUUGGCUUCAUAUAUCAGUAAUCUUAGAGUCAACCGAUCAUAUCUUUUGACAUAGGAAAACUACUCCUGAUAAUCUGUUUCAAGGAAAUAGAUGUAUAUCCAGAUGAAGAUUUAUGAGCAAAGAUUUCCAUCAUAUAAUUUCUAAACAGUGAAACAAUGGAAACAUUUAGACAGGGAAGAAAAGGUUAAACAAAUGAUGUUAUGUUCUUUUGAUAGCAACUACGACUAUAGUACAGAAAAACAGCAGAGUAGCAAAUUGUUACAGAGAAUUUCAUUUAAUCAUGUUUAAAUAUAUGGAUAGAAGAACACCUGAAAUAAACUAAAUGACAGGAUUAGCUGCUCUGUUAAACUGUUAACAAAAGGUAUUUCAAAGAAGUGAGGUAGUUGUGAGCAUUAUUUCCCUCUCUUUUCUACUUUACUCUUUACCACAAUGACUGUUUAUCUUAAAAGUCUUAGAAAGGAAAAUCUAAGAAGAGUGGAGUGAAUAAUAGCUUCAUUAAAGGGAGAAAGGUAGAACAGACAUCACUUGAAAGAGCUGCUCCAAAUAAUGAGGCCAAGUUUGGAAAGACCUUUUCAGGUAGGGAGUGGGAUGGAUGGGGAAUUUGGGGUUAGUAGAUGCAAACUAUUACAUUUAGAAUGUAUAAGCAGGAGUUCCUGUCGUGGCGCAGUGGUUAAAGAAUCCGACUAGGAACCAUGAGGUUUCAGGUUCGAUCCCUGACCUUGCUCAGUGGGUUAAGGAUCCGGUGUUGCCGUGAGCUGUGGUGUAGGUUGCAGACGAGGCUCGGAUCCUGUGUUGCUGUGGCUGUGGGGUAAGCCGGGGGCUACAGUUCCGAUUGGACCCCUAGCCUGGGAACCUCCAUAUGUCACAGGAGCGGCCCAGGAAAUAGCGAGGAAAAAAAAAAAA
rnacentral:lncRNA from 1 species